rnacentral:rRNA from 1 species
UGAACGCUGGCGGCAGGCCUAACACAUGCAAGUCGAGCGGCAGCGCGGGGGCAACCCUGGCGGCGAGCGGCGGACGGGUGAGGAAUUCGUCGGAAUCUGCCUUUUUGUGGGGGAUAACGUAGGGAAACUUACGCUAAUACCGCAUACGUCCUACGGGAGAAAGUGGGGGACCGCAAGGCCUCACGCAGAAAGAUGAGCCGACGACCGAUUAGCUAGUUGGUGGGGUAAAGGCCCACCAAGGCGACGAUCGGUAGCUGGUCUGAGAGGAUGAUCAGCCACACUGGGACUGAGACACGGCCCAGACUCCUACGGGAGGCAGCAGUGGGGAAUAUUGGACAAUGGGCGCAAGCCUGAUCCAGCCAUGCCGCGUGUGUGAAGAAGGCCUUCGGGUUGUAAAGCACUUUUGUCCGGAAAGAAAUCCCUGGAGCUAAUACCUUCGGGGGAUGACGGUACCGGAAGAAUAAGCACCGGCUAACUUCGUG